rnacentral:rRNA from 1 species
AGAGUUUGAUCAUGGCUCAGAAUGAACGCUGGCGGCAGGCCUAGCACAUGCAAGUCGAACGGAUCCUUCGGGAUUAGUGGCGGACGGGUGAGUAACGCGUGGGAACAUACCCUUUGGUACGGAAUAGCCUCGGGAAACUGGGAGUAAUACCGUAUGUGCUCGAAAGAGGAAAGAUUUAUCGCCAAAGGAUUGGCCCGCGUUGGAUUAGGUAGUUGGUGGGGUAAUGGCCUACCAAGCCGACGAUCCAUAGCUGGUUUGAGAGGAUGAUCAGCCACACUGGGACUGAGACACGGCCCAGACUCCUACGGGAGGCAGCAGUGGGGAAUCUUAGACAAUGGGGGAAACCCUGAUCUAGCCAUGCCGCGUGAUCGAUGAAGGCCUUAGGGUUGUAAAGAUCUUUCAGAUGGGAAGAUAAUGACGGUACCAUCAGAAGAGCCG